UUUUCAGUUUGUCCUAGUGGGUGGCUUCCCUUUGAUAGCCAUUGUUAUCUUCAUAGCGAAAACAAGGAGAACUGGAACGAAUCAAAGGUGCAAUGUGAACGACAUGGCGCCCAACUUGUUGAGAUAGACACGCCUUCAGAAAAUGCAUGGGUCUUGGAAACAUUUAUUACACCUUGGAAUAGUGCCGACUGUCCUUAUUGGUUCGUUUGCUGCGAGACCUGGAUUGGGGCAACUGACAUUGAUAACGAAGGAGUUUUCACCUGGAAUCGUCGUACCGAAGUAACUUACACAAAUUGGAGAAAAGACCAACCUGAUAACUUUAAGGAAACAUACAUAACAGGACAACACUGUGUACGAAUUUGCCGCGAUGGGUUUUGGGAUGAUGAAUAUUGUGUUUUAAAAAAGUUUUUUCUGUGCGAAAAGGAGUAAUAUAAGUAAUACAAUUGGUUUUUUUUGUGCGAUUAUUUUUAUUUUGAUUUUUGUGUAAGCAAAUACUUGUAACAACCAGUAGGUAAAUCAAGCAAUUAAUGUAGUGUUUUUGGUUGAGACUACAAACAAGAUACGACGAUUUCCAAAUUUUGAAAAGAUUCUCCUGUAAAACAAAAAAAAAACGGUAAUAUAUAUUAUA